UGCGUAGGGGGCUAGCGUUGUCCGGAAUCAUUGGGCGUAAAGCGCGUGUAGGCGGUCCGGUAAGUCCGCUGUGAAAGUCGGGGGCUCAACCCUCGAAUGCCGGUGGAUACUGUCGGGCUAGAGUGCGGAAGAGGCGAGUGGAAUUCCUGGUGUAGCGGUGAAAUGCGCAGAUAUCAGGAGGAACACCAAUUGCGAAGGCAGCUCGCUGGGACGUUACUGACGCUGAGACGCGAAAGCGUGGGGAGCAAACAGG
rnacentral:rRNA from 1 species